rnacentral:rRNA from 1 species
UACGUAGGGUGCAAGCGUUGUCCGGAAUUAUUGGGCGUAAAGAGCUCGUAGGCGGUUUGUUGCGUCGGCUGUGAAAUCCCGAGGCUCAACCUCGGGUCUGCAGUCGAUACGGGCAGGCUAGAGUUCGGUAGGGGAGACUGGAAUUCCUGGUGUAGCGGUGAAAUGCGCAGAUAUCAGGAGGAACACCGGUGGCGAAGGCAGCUCUCUGGUCGACCUCUGACGCUGAGACGCGAAAGCGUGGGGAGCGAACGGG